rnacentral:rRNA from 1 species
UACGUAGGGUGCGAGCGUUAAUCGGAAUUACUGGGCGUAAAGCGUGCGCAGGCGGAUUGUUAAGCAAGAUGUGAAAUCCCCGGGCUUAACCUGGGAAUGGCAUUUUGAACUGGCAGUCUAGAGUGCGUCAGAGGGGGGUGGAAUUCCACGUGUAGCAGUGAAAUGCGUAGAGAUGUGGAGGAACACCGAUGGCGAAGGCAGCCCCCUGGGAUGACACUGACGCUCAUGUACGAAAGCGUGGGUAGCAAACAGGAUUAGAUACCCUGGUAGUCCACGCCCUAAACGAUGUCAACUGGUUGUUGGGGGAGUGAAAUCCCUUAGUAACGAAGCUAACGCGUGAAGUUGACCGCCUGGGGAGUACGGUCGCAAGAUUAAA